GAGUUUGAUCUUGGCUCAGAUUGGACGCUGGCGGCAGGCCUAACACAUGCAAGUCGAACGGUAACAGAACUAGCUUGCUAGUUGCUGACGAGUGGCGGACGGGUGAGUAAUACUUAGGGAUCUGCCUCUGUGUGGGGGAUAACUAUUGGAAACGAUAGCUAAUACCGCAUAACGUCUACGGACCAAAGAGGGCUUCGGCUCUCGCGCAGAGAGGAACCUAAGCGAGAUUAGCUUGUUGGUGAGGUAAAGGCUCACCAAGGCGACGAUCUCUAGCUGUUCUGAGAGGAAGAUCAGCCACACUGGAACUGAGACACGGUCCAGACUCCUACGGGAGGCAGCAGUGGGGAAUAUUGCACAAUGGGGGAAACCCUGAUGCAGCCAUGCCGCGUGUGUGAAGAAGGCCUUCGGGUUGUAAAGCACUUUCAGUUGUGAGGAAAGGUUAGUAGUUAAUACCUGCUAGCUGUGACGUUAACAACAGAAGAAGCACCGGCUAACUCCGUGCCAGCAGCCGCGGUAAUACGGAGGGUGCGAGCGUUAAUCGGAAUUACUGGGCGUAAAGCGCACGCAGGCGGUCUGUUAAGCUAGAUGUGAAAGCCCCGCGCUCAACGUGGGAGGGUCAUUUAGAACUGGCAGACUAGAGUCUUGGAGAGGGGAGUGGAAUUCCAGGUGUAGCGGUGAAAUGCGUAGAGAUCUGGAGGAACAUCAAUGGCGAAGGCAACUCCCUGGCCAAAGACUGACGCUCAUGUGCGAAAGUGUGGGUAGCGAACAGGAUUAGAUACCCUGGUAGUCCACACCGUAAACGCUGUCUACUAGCUGUUUGUGGAUUUAAUCCGUGAGUAGCGAAGCUAACGCGAUAAGUAGACCGCCUGGGGAGUACGGCCGCAAGGUUAAAACUCAAAUGAAUUGACGGGGGCCCGCACAAGCGGUGGAGCAUGUGGUUUAAUUCGAUGCAACGACGAGAGAACCUUACCUACUCUUGACAUACUAGAAACUUUCAGAGAUGAAUGGUGCUCGGAAUCUGAUAR
rnacentral:rRNA from 1 species